AGAGUUUGAUCAUGGCUCAGAUUGAACGCUGGCGGCGUGGCUAAAGCAUGCAAGUCGCACGGAGCCGCAAGGCUCAGUGGCGGACGGGUUAGUAAUACGAUCGAACGUACCCUGAGGUGGAGGAUAGCGGCGGGAAACCGCCGGUAAUACUCCAUGAUCUCUCCGGAGCAAAGUCGCAAGGCGCCUUUGGAUCGGCGAUCGUCCUAUCAGCUAGUUGGCGGGGUAACGGCCCACCAAGGCGAUGACGGGUAGCAGGUGUGAGAGCACGACCUGCAACAUCGGGACUGAGACACUGCCCGGACUCCUACGGGAGGCUGCAGCGACGAAUCUUCCGCAAUGGGCGCAAGCCUGACGGAGCGACGCCGCGUGUGGGAUGAAGCGUCUUCGACGUGUAAACCACUGUCAGAGGACAGAAACACUGAUUGUCCUCAGAGGAAGGGGCGACUAACUCUGUGCCAGCAGUCGCGGUAAGACAGAGGCCCCGAGCGUUAAUCGGAAUUACUGGGCUUAAAGGGUGCGUAGGCGGACCAGCAAGUGCUUUGUGAAAGCCCCCGGCUCAACCGGGGAACAGCGGGGCAUACUGCUGGUCUUGAGGAAGGUAGGGGCCGCGAGAACUGUAGGUGGAGCGGUGAAAUGCGUAGAUAUCUACAGGAAUGCCGAUGGUGAAGACGCGCGGCUGGGCCUUUCCUGACGCUGAGGCACGAAAGCGUGGGGAGCAAACAGGAUUAGAUACCCUAGUAGUCC
rnacentral:rRNA from 1 species